rnacentral:tRNA from 1 species
UAAGGUGUAGUUUAUAUAGAAUUUAAGCUUUGGGAGUUUAUGGAGCAUGGUUUGUCACUUUAA